GACAAAACAAUAGAUGUCCUCAAAACGCCUUGCCUUACUGAAGCACCUUUGUAAUGUCAACUAAUCCUCACAACAACCCUUUGAGGCAAUCAGCUCCAAGAAGAUAAUAGCACUCCUUAACUGUAGGAAUUCAGAAAACCUUCAAAGAAGACUACCAACUCCAGCUGAGUAUCACAGUGGAGAUUUAUCAAAAGCAUGAAAGAACUCCAGUUGCCUCGCUGACCAUCUUUUGUUAGCUGACUAAUUUACAUGUGAAUUAUGGAUCCAGUCUCUUCGAAGAUUCAAGUUAACUUUUUUGUGUGACUGUGCUGGCCAACAGCUUGGAAAGGGUCCAGUGCGGAGGACUCUCCUCAGCUGCCGAUGUCUGAAGCCUGAGCUGAGGGGACUUGGAAGCUUGAGUGACUUAAGGGCUAGGGACUGGAAGGAGGAAUCUUUACUCACAUGUCUGGGGUCUGGUUUGGGGCUACGGAUAGUAGUACUGACAUGUGACCUCUCCAUGCGCUUGGGCUUCCUUACAGCAUGGAACCUCAGACCUCUUACAUGGGAGCUGAGGGCUUCAGGCACAAGUAUUACAGUCAACAAGGCAGCAGUUAGAUCACCCUUUCUGACCUAGCCUCAGAAGUCAAACAAUGUCACUUCAACCACAUUUUACUGGUAACAUGAGUCACAUACAACUACCCAAGUUCAAGAGGAGGGAACAACAACUCCAUCUCUCAAAAUGAGGAAUGUCAAAGAAACUGCAACCAAUUUUUUUUAAAAAACCUCUAGCAC